GAUGAACGCUGGCGGCGUGCUUAAUACAUGCAAGUCGAGCGAACAGACGAGGAGCUUGCUCCUCUCACGUUAGCCGCGGACGGGUGAGUCACACGUGUAUACCCCCCUUAUCAGACGGGUAUAACUUCGGGAAACCGGAGCUUAUCCCGGAUAAUCUCCUGAACCGCAUGGUUCAUUAGAGAGAGACGGCUUUGCUGUCACUACUCGCUGGUUCUGCGCUGCAUUAGCUAGUUGGUACGUUAACGGGCUAUCAAGGCGACGAGGCGUAGCCGAACUGAGAGGGGGGUAGGCCACACUGGAAGGGGGCCGCGGUCAAUGGGACUGCGGGAGGCAGCAGUAGGGUAUGUGCGGCAGUAGGCGAGAGCCUGACGGAGCGACGCCGCGUCAGUUAUGACGGUCUUCGGUGCGUAAAACUCUGUUAUUAGGGAAGAACAGAUGUGUAAGGAGAUAUGCACGGCUUGACGGUACCUGGUCAGAAAGCAACGGCUAACUACGUG
rnacentral:rRNA from 1 species